AUAAAAGGGCAGAGGUUUCUAGCUGGCUGUCUCUUGUUUGUUGGUACACAGACCCGCCCCACUUGCGUGUUUGCCGUGUUUGCUUCCGCCACCGGUGCAGUGGUGGAUCCUCCGGGUGCAGCCUGUCAACGCAGCCAUAGAAAGCAUGAAGCUCUCUCCUCUCUGCGUCAUCGAUAGGAAAGCCUGAUCGGGCCAAUCCAAUGAUUAAGGGACAUCUGCUGUUUUGCUUCACCGGAUAAAGUGUAUUUAUCGGCACAACUGCUGUUGAUCCUGCCUA